GACGAACGCUGGCGGCGUGCCUAAUACAUGCAAGUCGAACGCAGUGGGGAUGGGUGAGUAACACGUGGGUAACCUCCCAUCAGAGGGGAUAACCCUUGGAAACAGGUGCUAAACCGAUACUGAUGGAUGGACCCGCGGUGCAUUAGCUAGUUGGUGAGGUAACGGCUCACCAAGGCCACGAUGCAUAGCGGGCCGGAGAGGGUGACCGGCCACACUGGAACUGAGACACGGCCCAGACUCCUACGGGAGGCAGCAGUAGGGAAUCUUCGGCAAUGGACGAAAGUCUGACGGAGCAACGCCGCGUGAGUGAAGAAGGUUUUCGGAUCGUAAAGCACUGUUAUUAGAGAGGCGGUAUCUAACCAAGAAGCAACGGCUAACUACGUGCCAGCAGCCGCGGUAAUUC
rnacentral:rRNA from 1 species